GAUGAACGCUGGCGGCGUGCCUAAUACAUGCAAGUCGAGCGAACAGACGAGGAGCUUGCUCCUCUGACGUUAGCGGCGGACGGGUGAGUAACACGUGGAUAACCUACCUAUAAGACUGGGAUAACUUCGUGAAACCGGAGCUAAUACCGGAUAAUAUAUUGAACCGCAUGGUUCAAUAGUGAAAGACGGUUUUGCUGUCUCUUAUAGAUGGAUCCGCGCCGCAUUAGCUAGUUGGUAAGGUAACAGCUUACCAAGGCAACGAUGCGUAGCCGACAUGAGAGGGUGAUCGGCGACACUGGAACUGAGACACGGUCAAGACGACUACGGGAGGCAGCAGUAGGGAAUAGGACGCAAUGGGCGAAAGCAUGACGGAGCAACGCCGCGUGAGUGAUGAAGGUCUUAGGAUCGUAAAACUCUGUUAUUAGGGAAGAACAAAUGUGUAAGUAAAUAUGAACGUAUUGACGGUACCUAAUAAGAAAGCAACGGCUAGCUACGUG
rnacentral:rRNA from 1 species